AUAUGUCCUUGCUAUUCUAGAUUAUAGAAGAAAGAAAAAACAUGGCGUGUCAUCAUGUCCCUAUCUAUGCUCAUUUCAUAUUCAUAAUCUAUCAUUUCAAAAGGGAAAAAGCCGGCAACAAUUUGUUGUCCAAGCGUCAACUGGAUGAACGGCCAAAAGGGAGAGCCAAUUUCAGAGCAAUUCUGUCAACCAUAUCACUGCCAAUUCUUAGGUUCCGGGUUAGGAAAAGAACAAGGCCGAGCAGAAAGAAGUGGGUUGUUUAGAGGAGAGAGCAAUGAUUUUAUGAAGAAAAACAGAAACAAAACAAAAAAAAACACUACUACCAUGGUCUGCUACCUCCACCAAAUUUGGAUCCUAUCAGCUGCCAGGUUUAGUAACGCCUAUGGUCGGAUUACCUUUGCUUCCCACUCAUCAAAGGAGAAUGUCAAACAAAUUUGGGGAACAAAAAAUGCUAACAAAUUAGGCAUAAUCUAAGCAGCUGCUAACUGAAAAGGGGAUAUGCAUCCAUCGCUAACUACUCUGCCCUAUCUAUCUAUAUCUCUCUUUGUUAGUAGUAAAAAAAA